GCUUGUCUCAAAGAUUAAGCCAUGCAUGUCUAAGUAUAAGCGACUAUACUGUGAAACUGCGAAUGGCUCAUUAAAUCAGUUAUGGUUUAUUUGAUGGUACCUACUACUUGGAUAACCGUAGUAAUUCUAGAGCUAAUACAUGCAGGAAGACCCGACUCACGAAGGGUUGUAUUUAUUAGAUAAGAAACCUUCCCCUUUGGGUUGCGUGCCGAGUCACAAUAACUGCUCGAAUCGCAUGGCUUCACGCCGGCGAUGGUUCAUUCAAAUUUCUGCCCUAUCAGCUUUCGAUGGUAGUGUAUUGGACUACCAUGGCAGUAACGGGUAACGAAGAAUUAGGGUUCGAUUUCGGAGAGGGAGCAUGAGAAACGGCUACCACAUCUAAGGAAGGCAGCAGG
rnacentral:rRNA from 1 species